CUAAUUAGGGUUUUAUAAAUGUGGAUCUAUGAUCAGGAAGAGACCUACAUUGACCCUCUGCUAGAACUGCAGGGACAAACUGUAAUUGAAAAAUGAUCAAGCCAGGAGGCAGCUAAAAUAAAUGUGUCAAUGCAUAGUUCAACCAAGAAAGAAGAAAAUUCAGCAAAGUGACCUUUCCUUGGGGGAGAGAAGAACUUCAAUUCCCGACUGUUCAUGAAUCACUGGUGUAUCCAGCCGCACCAAGUAUGUCCAAGCUCCAAGAAUGUCUGACACCAUCCCCCAGAAUGAUGCCUGAGGCCUUGCCUAGUCCAAAGACACAUGAAUCUCUGGACACCUGCAGAUGUACUCCCACGGCAGGCAGCUGCAGCAUAGCUCCAGCUGCUGUCUGUCAGGGCCCUGGGCACAGAUUCAGAGCUGCAGAGGCACAGCCUGCCUGUUGUCGGUUGUAAGUGCCCAUGUACAGAGUGAGUUUAAUAUUUGAGCAGGCCAGGAAGCACCUGUCUUAAAUUUGGCAAUUAGGAAAGGGAAUAUUUCUCCUCAUGUGUUCCCUCUCUGAACACAAUAAACUGCACAAAGACUAAGCAGAUCGCUUGCCUCCAAAUAGGAAUUGUCUUCAAAGAGAGUCAUUUUAGGAUGGGGGUGAGGUCCCAUCCUAUGGGUUCUAACACCUCCUGCAAAAGCCUCUGAGCUUCUCAAGGUAAGUAUAAGGGAUAUGAUAGCCAUUCAACAAUUAGUAUGUAUUGGCAGAUCAACUGACUGACUGAAUGAAUGAACAAAUGAUUGCAUUAAGAGCUAGCGACCCUGGAAAUGAUUCCUGUAGAAAAGGAGAAUAUGAGGGUCCAGCUUGGAAACUGGGAGGGCGUUCCUGGGGAUAAGGCCAUGUCUGUGCCAAAUCCUUGGAAUUCUAGCAAACUCAGCAGUGCCGUCUGUCCAAGAAAAAGAGUUGAGAAGUCCCUGGCAGACACAGAGGGUUUUGGUUAGAAGAUGAGGGCCCCAUGGGGAGAAGGAAGGAGGGUACAAGUCAUCAGAUAUGAGUGAGUCCCCAUAAGACUCUAGCUAGGGAGGGGCCAAUGCAUGUUGCACAGGUCUCCUCACCAGUCUGUGGCUUCCAUGCACAUUCUGGGGAUAGCAGCACCUAUUUGGAUUUCCACUGAAAGGUAGUGGCUUUGAAGUGAGUUGGCUCAGGGGAAAUUUCAGCUCUAUCCACUUACUUGGGAUUGGAACUUGGGGCAAGUUUCUUAAACUUGCUGAGUGUAGUUUCUUCAUCUAUAAGAUGGGUAGAAAAUCUAUCUUGCAGGAAGAAUCGAUUAUUUAUUAAAUAGGUAUUUAUUGGUAUGAGGUCACACAUUAUGUUAGGUGCUGAAUAUAGAAAGUAAAAAUAGACAUAGCUCUUUCCCUUAGGUGACAGACAGAAAAUUAAACACUCACGUAAAUAAAUGUAACAUUAUGUCUAUAAGACAUCCUAUGAGUAGAGGUACAAGGUGUCAUACAAGCCCAUAAUAGAGGAAUUUUACCUAGUUUUGGAGAUCAGAAAGUGAUGGUGAAGGAAAGGACGAGGAUGAAUGUCACAGCAUUCAAGGCAGACAGAACAAGCAAAGGCAGCACCCUGUGGCACAGAAGCGAGGGGUGGGUUUGUGAUAUAGGGGUAGAGGGCAGGUGCCUUCUCCUACCCCUGCUCCUGUCAGCACACCGGUGGGUCUACCUCACCCCAAACCAUGGGGAUGCCCAUUCCAACCUUGGAGGAAGGCUAUACAUAGCACAGUUCCAUGUUGAGGCUGUGGAACCCGACCCCUCAGGUUCAAAUUCUGAUUUGAUCACGUCCUGACUGCGUGAUCUCAGGAGAGUUAGUUACAUUUCCUGUCUGUGCCUCAAACAGAAAUGAUAACACUAGUAACUACCUUGAGGGGUUGUGAUGAUUGAGUUAAUACAUGUAAAACGCUUAGAACACUGGCUUACCUCAUAAGUGCUAAAAGGAGUAGGUGUUACUCCUGACAUUCCUUCCUUAACUCAUGGCCCUCAGUUAUAAUACUUACAUGGUUCUCGGCAUGAGCCCUCUUCCCUCCCUCUGCCCAGUCCAGGAAGAGGCUCAACCCCCGAUGUUCCUCAUCACCCCAUCUGGACCAGUGUGACUGCACCAGCCUGUAGCAUUCUCUGUCCAUCCCGGUCCCUCACAUAUUCAAGACACACAUGUAAUUUUACAUUUUCCAGUAGCCAUAUUAGAAAAGUAAAAAGAAACAGGUGAAUUUAAUACUGUACUUUAGUCCAAUAUAGCCAUUUAUCAUUUCAACAUGUAAUUAAUAUUAAAAAUUAUUACAUUUUACAUUCUGUUUUUGUACUCUUUCCAAUCCAUCAUGAUUUUACCCUAGCAGCACACUUCAAUUUGGACUAGCCACAUUUCAAGUGCUUGACAGUCACAGGUGACUAAUGGCUCUCCUAUGGGUUAUAGCCCAGCUCUUGACUCUUUGAUCCACAAGGAUAAGAACCACAUCCACUUCCACAUCUCCAGGUAUGAGGCAGAUAAAUAGCAGAGAGUGAUUACACAAAACUCUUCUCACCACGGAUUCCGGCAUUUGUGGGCAGCUGCAGAAGAGUAGGUGGGAGGAUCUCCCAGAUUAUGAGGCCAGUUUUUCUGUGGCUCAGAGACUGCCAGUGACUCGCUCAAGAUAAAACAGCUUGUUAGUGGCAGGGAUGGAGCCCAGAAAUCCUGUUUCCUGUCCUCAGGAGUGUGUGUUCGAAAGAAGUUCUUGGCAAAGGUGAGAAUAAAUCAUAGGCUCUUUGAAGAGGACUCCAGUGUAUUAAACAAAUAGGUUGCUGAGAUGCAGUUAACUACUCAGUAAUGUAGUUGAAGAAAAUUAAUUUUUCAUUCUGCCACUCAGAAUAUCGAGGCUGGCCAUCUGUAAACACAGCCUGUCUCUAGGAGAACAGAGGUGGAAUCCUCCUUGCAAGUUUAAAAAAAUAACAGAGUAAUCUCAGUGGAUGUCUUAAGAGAAACAUAAUUAUAAUUUAGUUGACAUAUCUCAUAUCUCAGUGAUGGUAAAUAAACCUUCCCUAAAUAAUUCAAUUAUAA
rnacentral:lncRNA from 1 species